CACGGGGGGAGCAAGCGUUGUUCGGAAUCACUGGGCGUAAAGGGCGUGUAGGCGGUCAGGUAAGUGGAAUGUGAAAGCCCUCGGCUCACCCGAGGAUCUGCAUUCCAAACUGCCUGGCUUGAGUAUGGGAGAGGAUGAGGGAAUUCCUGGUGUAGCGGUGAAAUGCGCAGAUAUCAGGAAGAACACCCGUGGCUAAGGCGGCUCUCUAGUACGGUACUGACGCUGAGACGCGAAAGCGUGGGGAGCGAACAGG
rnacentral:rRNA from 1 species